AUGCUUGCCUGCUGCACCCUUCACCAACCCUUCGGUCUAACCUGGAUGCUUAUAGAUGUUGGAAGAGGUGAAAUACUUCACCAAGUCUCUGAACUAGUGCUAGAAGGGUCCUAGUUCCCUUAUCUUGAGCUAUGGUUGGAUGAUUUCUCUGGGUUUAGGGGCUUGGAAUUGCACUAUUGGACCAAAUUGCACUAUUGGACCAAACAUAUUCUAUGUUUGCCCAGGCCACUGCUGCAUCAAGGCCCAGAGAGAUAAGUGUGGAAGGUCCUCUGAUUACUUUUGGGUUGUUUGGGGAUACAAAUUCACCUGCUAUAUAUGGUGACUUGUGGUGCAUGCAUUAUUAA
ensembl:processed_transcript